GCCUCUGUGGAUCAAUGUGAGAUCACCUCUCCCAAGUAUGCGGUUUCCAGAUUCUAGUGUAACAGGAGACGUGGGUUCGAAUCCCACCAGAGGUA